rnacentral:tRNA from 1 species
GGUGGCUCUGUGUAGAGUGCUUGCCUUGCAUGCAAGAGGCCCUGAGUUUGAUUCCUCAGUACCA